rnacentral:lncRNA from 1 species
CAACGGAGCCUAUUUGCUACUGAUAGCAUUCCAGCCGGACUCUAUAUACAUAUAUGAAUAUAUAUAUAUACAUAUAUGUAUAUAGAGUCCAGCUACUAUACUAUUAUGAGUACGAUCGCCCUCGUACUCAUAAGUUGUUUUCAAUGAUAGAGCUUCCGAAUCGACGAUCCACACCAUUAAACGUUAUCUAGAGCAUUUGAAACAUCUAAAAAUCAAAUUUCAUAAUUUUUCGACAUUAUUUACCUUACGAUCAAAAGCUCACAAAAUUGACAAUUUUUAACGGCCGGUAUGGAAUACUUGCUAGUUUAACGAUGCAAAAGAAUGGGUGAGAGAGAGAAUGACAAAGAGAAAAGGGGAAGAAAGGGUUCGAAAUAAGGAAUUUUUUCAAUCCCUUAACGAGUUGGAAACUUGGAAUAUAUUGCAAAAAUCCGAUACCCCUAAACUCAAAGCCUAGACCAAUAUAACUAAAUUUAUCACGCGACGCACACUAAGCCUGGCGCAUGCCUCAGAGGGGCACCAGUGGGCACGCCUCAAAGGGGGUGUUGCGCCUCAACUGCCCUAGGGUGCUGGGGCCGGCAGGAACCUAGGCAUCACAGACACUGACAUGGAACACGGGACACGACACAACUUGGACACCGUGACUUUGCAGCUUUCAAAAAAUUAGGACACGGGCUUGACAUGGGCACCGCUAAUAAAAUAUAAUAUUAUUAAUAUAAUAUUAUGUUCAUAUAUUUUAAGAAAAGAAAUUCUCUACCAUACCUAAUUUAUAUUGUCAAAAAAAAUUGUAUGCAUUCAUCGAAAAGCUAAAAUAUUUAUCAUCUUACAUUAUAUAUGCAUGCAAAAAGUGAAAUAAAAAUGUGUAUAUAUUUUUUUUAGUUGUAUACGCUAUGGAUCGGCAUUGAACACGCGUCCGAGGAAUGUCCACAUCAGACACGUCUGACACGGACACGGGCGUGUCUGACACAAACACGCAAGGCUUAUAGAAGUAUCCGUGAUACAUAGGCCGGCACCUUGUGCCUCAAGUUUGCCUGUCAGUGUUUGAAAAGGCACAAGGUGCAAAAAAGCACAAAGCUCUUCUGGAGCCCAGGUGCGAGGCGCAGAGGCAUGCACCUCAAGAAGGUGAGGCGCACUUCUAAUAAAAAUAAAACACUCUUAACAAGUCUAGUACAAAUUGACGUUUUACAUAAAACAAUUCCAAAAUUGCCAAACAAAAAUAAAAUAACCAUAAAAAAGUAAAUAAAUCACAUGCAUAAAUGUUCUCGAACUAAAAAGAAAAACAUAUGUUUCAACUUUCAACUUAAAAGCGCUUGUUGCCUUGUUGCCGUUAGGGGAAGAGAGAACGACCAAGAGAUAUAGGGAAGAAAUGGUUCAAAUUAGGAAAAUUUUCAAUCCCUUAAACAUAUGAGAAUAUAUAUUGAAAAAACUCAAGACUCGAAAAUCCAAAUCUUAGACUAAUAAAAUUUAAACAUCACGAGGCGCGUCCGAGGCACGCACCUAGCGCCUCACCUGAGGCGUGUGCCUCAAACCCUAGGCCCACACCUCAGCUACUCUGAGGCGCUGAGGCCUGCGCCUCACGCGCACUUUUUCAAACACUGGCGCAUGUCAAACACUACUAAAAGUGCAGGCCUCAGCGCACUUUUUCAAACACUGGCGCAUGUCAAACACUACUAAAAGUUCAGGCGACCAUCUAAAAAUAUUUAAAGUAGUUAAUUUUUAAAUUAAAGUUCACGCACCUAUGUAAACAUCAGAUAUAGUUCAAGUACCCAAGUGACUUAAUUCCUUUUCCUAAAUAAUGACCCAAUUUCAAAACUCUCUUCAUGAUUCCAUACAAACUUAACAAACCAAGACUCAAAAGUCUGUAACUUGACCAGCGAGAGAAAUUAGUACCUACUUAUUAUACUUUCAUUUCACAUUGAAGUUGUAAUAAUAAGAUAAUGACGUCCAUAUAAUAAGCUUCCAAAAAAAUUGGUUCGAGCUAAGGCAGCAUUACCUCCAAUUUGAGGCCCAAAUUUCUUACCAUAAUAGAUGCGGUAUCUAAGGGAAUAUGAAAGCUCUAUAAUUUGAAAAUAAAGGAACUCCCUAGCAUCAAUAAAUUUGAAACAUUUCUUACAGAUAUAAUAAUUUGUUAAUAACAUGUCUUGAAAUAAAGAAAAUGGUCAUUUAAUGUCGUAAAGCAAUCAACAAAUGACUAAGUUAUCUCUAGAAAAGAGAAAAGCAAGAGGACAUAAUACCAUCUUACUUUCUGAUACCUUUCUAUUUAAAAAACUACCAUUAACUCGUACAGGAAUAGGAUUAGUUAACUUCCUCAAAAUCUCUUGCAUAUGUUGACAACUUAUCACUUUGAUGUUUAGCAACUUGAAAGGAAAAAGAAGUCAUAGUAUACUCAUUAUUCACCUAGAAAAGACCAAUUUUUGCACCAAGUAUUACCAACGGCCCUCAGAUUCCCUAGAAUUGUGUCCGAAUCUUACACCAUUAUUUGUUUAUGUAAAUAGUUAAUUAAUUUGUUGUAUUAGCUAGGAAGACACUCAAAUAAAUGGAAGCAAAUUUCCCCUUUCCCACCUAAACAAACAUAGGCACACCGCAAGUUUCAAGCACCAGGACCUUACAUUCACGCAUAACUGGUGACAACCGUAAACAUCACAAAACAACCAAAAAGAGAAAAAAAUUCUGCUUACUAAUUGUUGUGUUCCCAUAAGCCAAAACUAAUUAAUGCGUUAGCUGGAGCUAUAAACUAUUAUUUGAACUACAAAAGAUUAGUGAUCAAAAGAACUACCAAGAUGGCGCAUCAGCAAUGCUUAACAAAGUAAUAAACAAUGAAUCAGCACAUCACAACAUAAAAACAUCUACACCUUGAUGAUUGCUAGCAAUAGAAGCUUACCUCA